UACAGAGGUCUCAAGCGUUGUUCGGAUUCAUUGGGCGUAAAGGGUGCGUAGGCGGCGCGGUAAGUCGGGUGUGAAAUCUCGGAGCUUAACUCCGAAACUGCAUUCGAUACUGCCGUGCUUGAGGACUGGAGAGGAGACUGGAAUUUACGGUGUAGCGGUGAAAUGCGUAGAUAUCGUAAGGAACACCGGUGGCGAAGGCGGGUCUCUGGGCAGUAACUGACACUGAGGAGCGAAAGCGUGGGGAGCGAACAGG
rnacentral:rRNA from 1 species